rnacentral:rRNA from 1 species
GACGGAGGGGGCAAGCGUUGUCCGGACUCACUGGGCGUAAAGGGUGCGCAGGCGGCAGAGCGCGUCCGCGCUGAAAUCUGUUGGCUUAACUGACAGGCGCGUGCGGAUACGGCUCAGCUCGAGGCACGGAGAGGGUGGGGGAACUCCUGGUGUAGUGGUGAAAUGCGUAGAGAUCAGGAAGAACACCCGUGGCGCAAGCGCCCACCUGGCCGUGACCUGAUGCUGCGGCACGAAAGCGUGGGGAGCGAACCGG